rnacentral:rRNA from 1 species
AUUGAACGCUGGCGGCGUGCCUAAUACAUGCAAGUCGAACGCAGUGGGGACGGGUGAGUAACACGUGGGUAACCUCCCAUCAGAGGGGAUAACCCUUGGAAACAGGUGCUAAACCGAUACUGAUGGAUGGACCCGCGGUGCAUUAGCUAGUUGGUGAGGUAACGGCUCACCAAGGCCACGAUGCAUAGCUGAACUGAGAGGGUGAUCGGCCACACGGGGACGGAGACACGGCCCAGACUCCUACGGGAGGCAGCAGUAGGGAAUAUUCGGCAAUGGACGAAAGUCUGACCGAGCAACGCAGCGUGAGUGAAGAAGGUUUUCGGAUCGUAAAACUCUGUUGUUAGAGAAGCGGUAUCUAACCAGAAAGCCACGGCUAACUACGUGCCAGCCGCCGCGGUAAUUC